GCCUCCGUAGCUCAGCCUGGUAGAGCGAUUGCCUCGUAAGCAAUAGGUCAGGGGUUCAAAUCCCUUCGGAGGCU
rnacentral:tRNA from 1 species